GUUGAAACACAGAUACCCAUAUGAUCACUGAAGUUAAGCAAUGUUGAGCCUGGUCAAUACCUAGAUGGGUGACUGCUUGGGAAUACCAGGAGUUGUAAG